AAAGGCCCGCGCUUCAAAACAACGGCCUAUGUUACCAACCGGGUCUCUUUAACCCACGGAAGAUUCUCCUUCCUGAUGUAACGCCGAACCUACACGCAGACGGCUGUCGACGACGCAAGGUUCGCACUCCAGCGGCUCGUGAUCAAGCGGAGUCCAGGACUUCGUUCACGUUCGAAACCAAUAGAAGAUAAAACGUUCAUAGAAAACGAAAGACUUCUCACCGUCAUCACCGGAAAGAGACUCCCCCUACUCACACAACAACGAUGCCCAACGCUUCAUCUCGUCACUCAAGACCAACGGCGAUCGACAGUGGAUACGGUAAAUGCGAGGGAGACGCGGAGGACUCUCCUCCAGAUGUGAAAACGACUCUGACGUCUCCAUCUAUGUUCGUGUGCACCCCUACCUUCUCUGAAUCACGGUGCAUCGAAUGGAGCGACACCGAUUCACGACGUUGAACCUCUGCUUUCACCAGUUUAAACAGAAGAAUAUAAACGCCGAAUUGAAAUCUCACCAGUUUAUCAGGUUGUGGUUUGUUGAGGAUGGCAUCGGCGCUUUGCACUUUCAUUGAGGACAGACGAUGAAGGGCGAACCGUUCUUCUGGAGAAGGAUGCUAACCGAUUGGAAGAUGGAAUCACCGGUUUGGAAGCUUGAAGCUGCAGAAUGCUCUUGAGAUUGAUGAGCUUGGUAGAGAUUGUGCAGAAUUCAUUCAUCAUCUUGAUGCAAGGUGAGGAUUUGUGUAUGUACUUGCCGGUUGUCGUAGUCGGUGGAAUUUGGGAGGACUGCAACGCAUAUCAAAUACAACUCAGGGGUUUGUCAAUGCUGGUGACGCAACCACCUGUUGGUUCUGUUAAGUGUUUGGUUUUGUGUUAGCAUUUGUUUGUUGGAAGUCCAAACUUGUUGAUGCUAUUACUUGAAAUUAGAACUUUUAUUCAUUAACUUAAUUACUACUGAAAACAUUUUGGAAUACUAUUACAUCCUCUUACUGUUGUCCUCCUUUGUUGCUUGCAGAUGUCUCUACUAUAUUCGUGAGUGUGGGCGGUGUUCAAUGUGGCUCAUGGUACCAAGCUGGGAUGUUAACUUGGUGAAUACUCUUAUGCCGCCAGUUUGGAUUUUGAAGGGCGAAACAACCGACGUGCCUAGCUUGUUAACACCGCAUUGUGACCGAUGAGUGUGAAUAUCUUGCUACUAGAUAAGAGAUAUGGCAAGGGUCCAUUGUGAAAGAGAAGAACAGGGUGGAGUUUGUUUGGAGUUAAGUCAGUGUGGAGUGGUAUUGAAUUAGGAACGCUUACGUGAUGUUAGAACAUGUUAGGGAUGUUAUUAUACCGUUAGUGAACUUGUUGCUGGGUUAUCAACCAUGUUAGUGUGGCCUAUCGGUUAAAGAAAAAUGGAUAAUUGGAUGAUGAUUUAGUUAUUGAGAAUGUUAGGUGCUUCCAUGGAAUUCGAAUGGAAUUUGUUUUUGGUUGUAUUGAUUAAUUGAUUUUGGAUUAAUGGAUAUGGAUUUUGAGCA